UACGAAGGGGGCUAGCGUUGCUCGGAAUCACUGGGCGUAAAGCGCACGUAGGCGGAUCUUUAAGUCAGGGGUGAAAUCCUGGAGCUCAACUCCAGAACUGCCUUGAUACUGAGGAUCUCGAGUCCGGAAGAGGUGAGUGGAACUCCGGAGUGUAGAGGUGAAAUUCGUAGAUAUUCGGAAGAACACCAGUGGCGAAGGCGGCUCACUGGUCCGGUACUGACGCUGAGGUGCGAAAGCGUGGGGAGCAAACAGG
rnacentral:rRNA from 1 species